AUUGAACGCUGGCGGCAUGCCUUACACAUGCAAGUCGAACGGCAGCACGGGUGCUUGCACCUGGUGGCGAGUGGCGAACGGGUGAGUAAUACAUCGGAACAUGUCCUGUAGCGGGGGAUAGCCCGGCGAAAGCCGGAUUAAUACCGCAUACGAUCUACGGAUGAAAGCGGGGGACCUUCGGGCCUCGCGCUAUAGGGUUGGCCGAUGGCUGAUUAGCUAGUUGGUGGGGUAAAGGCCUACCAAGGCGACGAUCAGUAGCUGGUCUGAGAGGACGACCAGCCACACUGGGACUGAGACACGGCCCAGACUCCUGCGGGAGGCAGCAGUGGGGAAUUUUGGACAAUGGGCGAGAGCCUGAUCCAGCAAUGCCGCGUGUGUGAAGAAGGCCUUCGGGUUGUAAAGCACUUUUGUCCGGAAAGAAAUCCUUGGCCCUAAUACGGUCGGGGGAUGACGGUACCGGAAGAAUAAGCACCGGCUAACUACGUG
rnacentral:rRNA from 1 species